UACGUAGGGUGCAAGCGUUGUCCGGAAUUAUUGGGCGUAAAGAGCUCGUAGGCGGUCUGUCGCGUCUGCUGUGAAAACUCAGGGCUUAACCCUGAGCUUGCAGUGGGUACGGGCAGACUAGAGUGCGGUAGGGGAGACUGGAAUUCCUGGUGUAGCGGUGGAAUGCGCAGAUAUCAGGAGGAACACCGAUGGCGAAGGCAGGUCACUGGGCCGCAACUGACGCUGAGGAGCGAAAGCAUGGGGAGCGAACAGG
rnacentral:rRNA from 1 species